rnacentral:lncRNA from 1 species
CAUGGUGAUUUUGAGUGAACGACUGUCAAUUGGAGAGCGAGGAAAGGCGCCGGCUAUCUCUACUGAGGAUGGGUCGUCGACGGGUCUCCCUACCCUCUUCGACAUCCGAAUUUCAGUCAGUAAGUCGGCUUUGGCCACUCUAACGCUGGCCAAGUGACUCAUCGAGGCUGCUCUUCUCCUGACUGAUAGGGAGAAUAGGAAAGAUCGGACUAUGUCUAAGAUAUUUUCUUCCUUCUACCUGACGAUCCUUAGAGUAAGUUGAUGAUACUUCUUUCCUCCUUUUUUUUGUCAUCUGACUUGUU